rnacentral:lncRNA from 1 species
CAGUCUCCGAGGCGCGUGCGCACGGACCUGCCUUAUAGCCCGGCCGCCUGCGCGCUGACCUCACACCGGGUCAAGGCCGCGGCCCGAGGGCCGAACCGACUGGAGAGAGUGGGCCCUGCCGGAGCUCACACCGGGUCAAGGCCGCGGGCUGAACCGACUGGAGAGAGUGGGCCCUGCCGGAGCUCACACCGGGUCAAGGCUGCGGCCCGAGUGCCGAACCGACUGGAGAGAGUGGGCCCUGCCGGAGCUCACACCGGGUCAAGGCCGCGGCCCCAGGGCCGAACCGACUGGAGAGAGUGGGCCCUGCCGGGGCUCACACCGGGUCAAGGCCGCGGGCUGAACCGACUGGAGAGUGGGCCCUGCCGGAGCUCACACCGGGUCAAGGCCGCGGCCCGAGGGCCGAACCGACUGGAGAGAGCGGGCCCUGCCGGAGCUCACACCGGGUCAAGGCCGCGGCCCGAGGGCCGAACCGACUGGAGAGAGCGGGCCCUGCCGGAGCUCACACCGGGUCAAGGCCGCGGCCCGAGGGCCGAACCGACUGGAGAGAGUGGGCCCUGCCGGGGCUCACACCGGGUCAAGGCCGCGGCCCGAGGGCCGAACCGACUGGAGAGAGCGGGCCCUGCCGGAGCUCACACCGGGUCAAGGCCGCGGCCCGAGGGCCGAACCGACUGGAGAGAGCGGGCCCUGCCGGACCUCACACCGGGUCAAGGCCGCGGCCCGAGGGCCGAACCGACUGGAGAGAGCGGGCCCUGCCGGAGCUCACAGCCGGGGCUCACACCGGGUCAAGGCCGCGGCCCGAGGGCCGAACCGACUGGAGAGAGCGGGCCCUGCCGGACCCUCACACCGGGUCAAGGCCGCGGCCCGAGGGCCGAACCGACUGGAGAGAGCGGGCCCUGCCGGAGCUCACACCGGGUCAAGGCCGCGGCCCGAGGGCCGAACCGACUGGAGAGAGCGGGCCCUGCCGGAGCCGUCCCGGAGCCGGCACCUACCUCAGAGGGCUGCUGGGAGGCUAGCCACGGCGCUCCGCCACAGGCGUCCGGAACAGGCCCGGCAGGCGGCCGGCACGUGCUGAACGGGCCGCCUGCGGGCCGCGCAGCCUCCCGCCGACCGGAGCGCACGGCGCUGCUGGGGGACACGGCCGCGGCCCCAGACGGGCGGCCGGCUGCCGACGUGGCAGAGCACAGCCUCUGCCCCAGACGUGCUCAGCGCCGCCGAUCACCCAGAUCUCGGGCCCGACAAAACCUCAGUCACACAGUCAAACGCACCCCGACAUAUGCCCGGGCGCAGAACACCUCUGAGCGUCGCCCCGUGCGGAGCUCACAGGCCCUCACAGGCCCUCACAGCGGCGAAUUCCCGCGGUCGCCCGUGUCCCCGGGCCGCCGUCUCAGUCAGUCAGUCGGACGGCGGCCGCUCGCGGGCACGCCUCCAGGCACACGGCCGGCCGCACCCCAACCCUCUCGCUCACAACCGCACACAACGCCCCUCGGAAGCUCACGCCCCGUCCUCCUCAGCCACACAGCACAGCCGGCUGUCAGUGAGAAACGCACCCCCGCCAUGCGGCCGCCGCUGAAGCACUCUCUCAGGCGGCACCCCAGGGAGUUCCACAGCCGGCCUGGGCGUCCGCCGGUCGGCCCUCCAGUCGCGCGGCUCGUGGCCAGCGCCUCAGUCCCGCGCGCCUGGCACGGGCCGCCUGAGAGAGGGGCCUGA